UUUUUAUAGUAAUUUGCAAUGUAAAAGCAUUUUUCUUUCAUUAUCUUUUAAACAAAGAAGAUUAUAAUUCAAGCAUCCCUAUCCAAUUAUCCAUUGCACAUUGAAUUACUAAGUUUGCCAUAACCAAAAUGAUCCUUCCCCAGUAAAACAACAAAACCCCAAUACACUUUAUAAAUAAAAUAAAACUAAAACAUGCCACCCUUUGCCUUUGGUAUAUGUUUGCCUUCACUUUCCUUGAGUCCUCUUGGCCUUUCUCUUCUCGUUCACGAAGAAACCAAACAACGCCAAAACAGAGAAAGCACUAAAGCAAACUGAGGCAAUAUCGAGUGACACGUGGCGGCCGUUAAUUGCCUGGAUGUCAAAGAGGUUUGUGGUUUUAUGAGCAUCUGUGCUUUGACCGUAAGCCACCUCGGCU
rnacentral:misc_RNA from 1 species